GACGAACGCUGGCGGCGUGCUUAACACAUGCAAGUCGAACGGAAAGGCCCUGCUUUUGUGGGGUGCUCGAGUGGCGAACGGGUGAGUAACACGUGAGUAACCUGCCCUUGACUUUGGGAUAACUUCAGGAAACUGGGGCUAAUACCGGAUAGGAUCUCCUGCUGCAUGGUGGGCGUUGGAAAGUUUCGGCGGUUGGGGAUGGACUCGCGGCUUAUCAGCUUGUUGGUGGGGUAGUGGCUUACCAAGGCUUUGACGGGUAGCCGACCUGAGAGGGUGACCGGCCACAUUGGGCCUGAGAUACGGCCCAGACUCCUACGGGAGGCAGCAGUGGAGAAUAUUACACAAUGGGCGGAAGCCUGAUGCAACAACGCCGCGUGCGGGAUGACGGCCUUCGGGUUGUAAACCGAUUCCGCCUGUGACGAAGCGUGAGUGACGGUAAUGGGUAAAGAAGCACCGGCUAACUACGUG
rnacentral:rRNA from 1 species